GCUUCGACAGAACAAAGUAACACUACCAAUGACCUUACAUCCGGAUCAAUCAACAGCAGCUCCAUGAUAUAUGGAUCAACAAUAAAAAUUCAAUGUCUUUGCCUAUCAAUUUUUAUCCUUGUUUAUCGGAUUUCAAACUUUAGGACAUAUGAUAAGUGUGUUUUUGCAGACUUAUUUAGGUCACAAACAUGACUUAAUUAUGAGCAAAAUGAUUGAAUUGUGACCUAAUUUUGUUACAUUUGUGAAUUGUAGGGAAUAUCGAUGAACAUGGUGAAAUACAUGAAAAAAGGCGCGAAAAAAGGACUAAAAUGACACAAAGUGAAAGUUCAAGGACCAAGGUGCAAUUAUCCAAAAGUUGACCCAAUGAACAAAUCAAGGAAUUGGCUGAACCAAAUGCCAAUUGAUGAUGUCUUGGGAUGAUGGAAUGGAAAGAGUGAAGAAAAGAGGCCUAGAAGUGAAAGAUUCAAAUAAAGGGACUAAAUUGAAAUUUUUGGAGUUUACCUUGCGGUCGUACGGUAGAACUCUCGUGCGGCCGCACGAAUAGAUGCAGGGAAUUUAAUUGGAAAUAUGGAAUAACCAUGCGGCCGCACGGAUUAAAACCAUGCGGUCGCAUGGCAGUUUGUCUGCUACGGAAUUUUCUUUCCUUAUACAAUUAAAACUCCUUUGGUAACCUAAUAUUCACGGGAUAUAAAUAUCAAAAACAGUCCAGAGAAGACGAGAACGCAUUGGGAGGCAGCAAAACACAUCUUGAAGAAGAUUUGGAGCGCAAGAACGAAGAUUGGCUAUUGGAAUUUCAAGAUUUCUUCAAGUUUUUCUAAUCCGGUGAUGCUUAUUACUCAAAACUUGAUGUAUUUUGCUAUUUUAAUCAUGCUAGGCUAGAUUUUUAUUAUGCUAGGAGAUCGAUGAACCAUGUAGUUUGAAUUUUAAUAUCCUAGUUUUGCAAUUUGAUGUUAAG
rnacentral:lncRNA from 1 species